AAAAAAGGUUAUAAAAGACAGAAAAGAUUAGACAUUCUUCAGUUAGUCAACUCGUCUUUGUAGAAGAACACAAGCGAAAAUGAGAACUCUGAUUAUUCUGGCUAUCUGUUGUUUGACUGUGGCUAUUGCCAUGCCAAGGGAAGAAAGAUUCAUUCAUCUCCCAUCUCUGAAAACCGUCAUCAGCCAUUUGGAAAGUGUACUCCAUUCUGGCGCAACAAAGGAAGCCUGUAGUUUAGCUUGCCAUGCUGCCUUCUCUGUGGUCGGUUUCCUGUGCGGACCUGCAUGUUCCGAAGUUCUCAAGCUUGUCGGUUGAAUAAGAAUAUACAAAAAUAAAAUAAAAAUUGUAUAAAUUCC